rnacentral:rRNA from 1 species
CCCUUAGAUGUUCUGGGCUGCACGCGCGCUACACUGAAGCGUUCAACGAGUAUUCACCUUGCCCGGGAGGGUUGGGUAAUCUUUUGAAAACGCUUCGUGAUGGGGAUAGAUUAUUGCAAUUAUUAAUCUUCAACGAGGAAUUCCUAGUAAGCGCGAGUCAUCAGCUCGUGCUGAUUACGUCCCUGCCCUUUGUACACACCGCCCGUCGCUCCUACCGAUUGAACGUUCCGAUGAAUACCAUGGAUUGAGAGUCUGAAUGGGUUCGCCUAUUUCUGCUUCUCGAGAAGUGGAGUAAAUCUUAGCGUUUAGAGGAAGGAGAAGUCGUAACA